rnacentral:rRNA from 1 species
UCCAGAGGUCUCAAGCGUUGUUCGGAUUCAUUGGGCGUAAAGGGUGCGUAGGCGGCGCGGUAAGUCGGGCGUGAAAUCUCGGGGCUUAACUCCGAAACUGCAUUCGAUACUGCCGUGCUUGAGGACUGGAGAGGAGACUGGAAUUUACGGUGUAGCGGUGAAAUGCGUAGAUAUCGUAAGGAAGACCAGUGGCGAAGGCGGGUCUCUGGACAGUUCCUGACGCUGAGGCACGAAGGCCAGGGGAGCAAACGGG